rnacentral:misc_RNA from 1 species
UGUGGGAGCGGGCUUGCUCGCGAAUGCAGUGUGUCAGUCACCUGGUUGUCGGCUGAUCCACCGCAUUCGCGAGCAAGCCCGCUCCCACA